UGGUAUGUUGGACAGGCGCUCUGCUUCUCUUUAAAGAGCACGGAUUAUUCAUACCAUGCGACAUGAAUGAAAUGAGAAGUUUUCAAGGCUGGCAAUCUCCCAGGUAAGGGUUUGCAGUAGUUUACUUCUUCUACAAUA
rnacentral:snoRNA from 1 species